AGUCAUGUGACCGCCGUCUUGACAGUGUUCCACGGGCGCUGCUUCCUGCCUGGGUUUGGAGUUGUCACCACUUUCCCCUCUCCGUCUCCUGCGGGCGCAAUGGAGGAGGAGGAUGAGGAAGCGCGGGCGCUCCUGGCAGGCGGCCCUGACGAGGCCGACAGAGGUGCCCCGGCCGCCCCUGGAGCCCUGCCGGCCCUCUGCGACCCCAGUCGCCUGGCGCACCGGCUUUUGGUGCUGUUACUGAUGUGCUUCCUUGGCUUUGGCAGCUAUUUUUGCUAUGAUAAUCCUGCUGCCCUUCAGACUCAAGUUAAACGAAUGGGGCACAAUCAUUUUUAGCUGCUUUGUUUGCAUUGGACAGGUUGUUUUUGCCCUGGGUGGAAUAUUUAAUGCUUUUUGGCUGAUGGAAUUUGGAAGAUUUGUAUUUGGGAUUGGUGGCGAGUCCUUAGCAGUUGCCCAGAAUACAUAUGCUGUGAGCUGGUUUAAAGGCAAAGAAUUAAACCUGGUGUUUGGACUUCAACUUAGCAUGGCUAGAAUUGGAAGUACAGUAAACAUGAACCUCAUGGGAUGGCUGUAUUCUAAGAUUGAAGCUUUGUUAGGUUCUGCUGGUCACACAACCCUCGGGAUCACACUUAUGAUUGGGGGUAUAACGUGUAUUCUUUCACUAAUCUGUGCCUUGGCUCUUGCCUACUUGGAUCAGAGAGCAGAGAGAAUCCUUCAUAAAGAACAAGGAAAAACAGGUGAAGUUAUUAAAUUAACUGAUGUAAAGGACUUCUCCUUACCCCUGUGGCUUAUAUUUAUCAUCUGUGUCUGCUAUUAUGUUGCUGUGUUCCCUUUUAUUGGACUUGGGAAAGUUUUCUUUACAGAGAAAUUUGGAUUUUCUUCCCAGGCAGCAAGUGCAAUUAACAGUGUUGUAUAUGUCAUAUCAGCUCCCAUGUCCCCGGUGUUUGGGCUCCUGGUGGAUAAAACAGGGAAGAACAUCAUCUGGGUUCUUUGCGCAGUAGCAGCCACUCUUGUGUCCCACAUGAUGCUGGCCUUUACGAUGUGGAACCCUUGGAUUGCUAUGUGUCUUCUGGGACUCUCCUACUCAUUGCUUGCCUGUGCAUUGUGGCCAAUGGUGGCAUUUGUAGUUCCUGAACAUCAGCUGGGAACUGCAUAUGGCUUCAUGCAGUCCAUUCAGAAUCUUGGGUUGGCCAUCAUUUCCAUCAUUGCUGGUAUGAUACUGGAUUCUCGGGGGUAUUUGUUUUUGGAAGUGUUCUUCAUUGCCUGUGUUUCUUAGACAGGAUUUGUCUCUGUCACCCAGACUGGAAUGCAGUGGAGCAGUCACAGCUCAAUGUAACUUUGAACUGCGGAGUUCAGGUGAUCCUCCCACCUCAGCCUCCGUGAUAGCUAAGACUACAGUGUCACUUUUAUCUGUGGUCUUACUCUAUUUGGUGAAUCGUGCCCAGGGUGGGAACCUAAAUUAUUCUGCAAGACAAAGGGAAGAAAUAAAAUUUUCCCAUACUGAAUGAGAAGUUAAAAUGAAUGUGUCAUGAGAAUGGGCUUAACACAUCGUUGGUUUGAAAACUUCCAUUUUUAAAAAUUUAGAGUUUAGUCAUUAGAAAAAAUAAUGGACUGGAAAGUUAUAUUUAUAUCCAAAUAUACCUAUUUCAAAGUGUAUUUGUGAGGCCUGUUUUAGCCUGUGUCUUUUGUAUUGUGUGUUGCUAAAGAAUUCUACUUUUAGUAGGCUAAUCAACAAUGAAAGGGUUAGAAAAUUGCUGUGGAACAUCCAGGUGAACUUCAGGAAAGACAGUGAAAAAUGGAAAACGUUGGAGCUUCUGUUGAGAUAAUCUUCAUUAGGUAUAUAUCUUAGGGAUACAGCCUUUUCUUUAUCUUAUAGCAGGAAAAAAAAACUUUUGAGGGAAAUAGAAGGGCUGCGUUACACAAAAUAAACAAUGGCAUUGUCAUAGGCCUUCCUUUUACUAGUAGGGCAUAAUGCUAGGGAAUAUGUGAAGAUGUUUUUAUGAAGUCUCUUUCUGAUCACGAACAAUAGCUUGCGCUCUACUCUGUAGUUAUGUGGAUUGCCGAGCAAUGACCCUUUUCAAUUUCUUAUUUCUGUGUUACUGAGGACCCUAAUCACUUAGGGAUGUAAUUUUAUAGUAUAAACUUUCUGUACAGUUUUUCUUAUAGUCUAAUAAGUAAAAAGUGUCCUUCAAAUUAUGAUAAUUGCCUAUGUACAUGGAUAAAUUAAAACACUGCACACGGA